rnacentral:tRNA from 1 species
GGAGUUGUGGCUCAGUGAUAGGGUGCUUGCCUAGCAUGUACGAGGUACUGGGUUCAAUGCUCAGCACCG